GACCUACGACCAUACCAUGCUGAAUACACCGGUUCUCGUCCGAUCUCCGAAGUAAAGUAGCAUCGGGCCCGGUUAGUACUAAGAUGGGAGACCGCUUUGGAAUACCGGGUGUUGUAGGCUU
rnacentral:rRNA from 1 species